rnacentral:rRNA from 1 species
CGCACGGGUGAGUAACACGUGAGUGACCUGCCUUUUAGACUGGAACAACUUACCGAAAGGUGAGCUAAUGCCGGAUGAGUUAUAUAAGUGCAUGUUUAUAUAGGAAAAGUUGGGGAGACCUGACGUUGAAAGAUGGACUCGCGUCCCAUUAGCUAGUUGGUAGGGUAAUGGCCUACCAAGGCGACGAUGGGUAGCCGGCCUGAGAGGGUGGCCGGCCACACUGGGACUGAGACACGGCCCAGACUCCUACGGGAGGCAGCAG